CAUCCGAGUAAAUAUUCGGUUGUUGCUUUUACCGAUAAUUGCAUUCAAUAAGUACAACAAAUGGCGCCUGGAUUUUAUAGUGUUGUGUUUUUUACAGGCUUUAUAUUUGGUUCGCUAUUGUCAGCCGUUGAGUGUGGAUACUGUGACCAAGGGAGACACGUACCGGUUGUAUAUAUAUGUGCAGAGAGUCAAGCUAUCAAUCAACGCGUGGUCUACAUUGACAACACGUAUGCCAAAACACGAGAUGUAGAAUGUACCUGUAUAGUUAAACCUGUAUUGGAAGUCUUUAAAGUCAUAGUGGGUUUUGUGGAGAGACAAAGCACUUAUGAACUGCAAUACAAAUUAAAGAACGGAAAUUUAACACAAAUAUAUCCUUCCAUCAAAGAACACAUUCAGGCAAUAGAAGGCGAUAUUAACAUUAUCUACAUGCGAAGCAGGAAUGUAUUAUUACACGAAUCAUUUUGCUUGGAAAUACAUGUAG